rnacentral:rRNA from 1 species
GACGAACGCUGGCGGCGUGCCUAAUACAUGCAAGUAGAACGCUGAAGGAGGAGCUUGCUUCUCUGGAUGAGUUGCGAACGGGUGAGUAACGCGUAGGUAACCUGCCUGGUAGCGGGGGAUAACUAUUGGAAACGAUAGCUAAUACCGCAUAAGAGUAGAUGUUGCAUGACAUUUGCUUAAAAGGUGCAAUUGCAUCACUACCAGAUGGACCUGCGUUGUAUUAGCUAGUUGGUGGGGUAACGGCUCACCAAGGCGACGAUACAUAGCCGACCUGAGAGGGGGAUCGGCCACACUGGGACUGGGACACGGCCCAGACUCCUACGGGAGGCAGCAGUAGGGAAUCUUCGGCAAUGGACGGAAGUCUGACCGAGCAACGCCGCGUGAGUGAAGAAGGGUUUCGGAUCGUAAAGCUCUGUUGUAAGAGAAGAACGAGUGUGAGAGUGGAAAGUUCACACUGUGACGGUAUCUUACCAGAAAGGGACGGCUAACUACGUG